rnacentral:rRNA from 1 species
ACCUCGGGAAACUGAGGCUAAUCCCUGAUAGAUGAGGGACCCUGGAACGCUCCCUCAUCUAAAGGAUCCCAAGACCAUGCUCUUGGGAUCGCCUGAGGAUGGGGCCGUGGCCUAUCAGGUUGACGGUGAGGUAACGGCUCACCGUGCCUAUAACGGGUACGGGCCGUGAGAGCGGGAGCCCGGAGAUGGGCACUGAGACAAGGGCCCAGGCCCUACGGGGCGCAGCAGGCGCGAAACCUCCGCAAUGCGCUAACGCGCGACGGGGUCACCCCGAGUGCCAGCCGCUGAGGCUGGCUUUUCCCCAGUGUAAAAAGCUGGGGGAAUAAGCGGGGGGCAAGUUCUGGUGUCAGCCGCCGCGGUAAUACCAGCUCCGCGAGUGGUCGGGGCGUUUAUUGGGCCUAAAGCGUCCGUAGCCGGCCCAGUAAGUUCCUCCUUAAAUCCCAUGGCUCAACCAUGGGGCUGGGAGGAAUACUACUGGGCUAGGGGGCGGGAGAGGCCGAGGGUAUUCCCGGGGUAGGGGCGAAAUCCUAUAAUCCCGGGAAGACCACCAAUGGCGGAGGCACUCGGCCAGAACGCGCCCGACGGUGAGGGACGAAAGCCAGGGGAGCAAAAGGGAUUAGAGACCCCUGUAGUCCUGGCUGUAAACGAUGCGGGCUAGGUGUUGGCUGAGCUUCGGGCUCAGCCAGUGCCGCAGGGAAGCCGUUAAGCCCGCCGCCUGGGGAGUACGGCCGCAAGGCUGAAACUUAAAGGAAUUGGCGGGGGAGCACCACAAGGGGUGGAGGCUGCGGUUCAAUUGGAGUCAACCCCGGGAACCUUACCAGGGGCGACAGCAGGAUGAGGGCCAGGCUAACGACCUUGCCCGACGCGCUGAGAGGAGGUGCAUGGCCGUCGCCAGCUCGUGCCGUGAGGCGUCCGGUUAAGUCCGGUAACGAGCGAGACCCUCGUCUCCAGUUGCGACCAGGACCCAUUGGGUCCUGGGCACACUGGAGAGACUGCCAGCGCUAAGCUGGAGGAAGGAGGGGGCUACGGCAGGUCAGUAUGCCCCGAAACCCCUGGGCUACACGCGGCCUGCAAUGGUGGGGACAAUGGGUUCCGAACCCGAAAGGGGGAGGUAAUCCCAUAAAACCCCACCUCAGUUGGGAUCGAGGGCUGCAACUCGCCCUCGUGAACGUGGAAUCCCUAGUAACCGCGUGUCAUCAUCGCGCGGUGAAUACGUCCCUGCUCCUUGCACACACCGCCCGUCAAGGGC